rnacentral:rRNA from 1 species
CCCUUAGAUGUUCUGGGCCGCACGCGCGCUACACUGAUGCAUUCAACGAGUCUAAAACCUGCUCUGAUAGGGGUGGGUAAUCUUUUGAAUGUGCAUCGUGAUUGGGAUAGAUGAUUGCAAUUUUUCAUCUUCAACGAGGAAUGCCUAGUAAACGCAAGUCAUCAGCUUGCAUUGAUUACGUCCCUACCCUUUGUACACACCGCCCGUCGCUCCUACCGAUUGAAUGAUCCGAUGAAUAUCAUGGAUUGAGGAUGUAAGCAGGUUCGCCUGUCUUCAUCUUCGAGAAGUGAAGUAAAUCUUAUCAUUUAGAGGAAGGAGAAGUCGUAACA